rnacentral:rRNA from 1 species
GCUGAAACUCGCCUACAUGAAGCUGGAGUUACUAGUAAUCGCAGAUCAGAAUGCUGCGGUGAAUGCGUUCCCGGGUCUUGUACACACCGCCCGUCACACCACGGGAGUUGGAGACGCCCGAAGCCGAUUAUCUAACCUUUUGGAAGAAGUCGUCGAAGGUGGAAUCAAUAACUGGGGUGAAGUCGUAACAAGGUAGCCGUAUCGGAAGGUGCGGCUGGAUCACCUCCUUUCUAAGGA